GUUGUCCUACGGGAGGCAGCAAUGGGGAAUAUUGCACAAUGGGGGAAACCCUGAUGCAGCGACGCCGCGUGAAGGAAGAAGUAUUUCGGUAUGUAAACUUCUAUCAGCAGGGAAGAAAAUGACGGUACCUGACUAAGAAGCCCCGGCUAACUACGUGCCAGCAGCCGCGGUAAUACGUAGGGGGCAAGCGUUAUCCGGAAUUACUGGGUGUAAAGGGAGCGUAGACGGCAAUGCAAGUCCGGAGUGGAAUG
rnacentral:rRNA from 1 species